AAACCAUGCAUUGGGCAUUUUCUAAUUAAUUUCUUGAAACGAUCCCAUGCUUCGUGUAAUGUCUCAUCUUCAGAUUUCCUGAACAAUGUAAUGUCAUUCCUCAGCUU
rnacentral:snoRNA from 1 species